GCCUGUAGGUGCAGAGAGCGAAAGGUCCACAUGUUCCAAAGAUGUCGCACUCGAGCAUGACGGCUUGCCAGACGACGCUCCAGGAGCCACUCUUGUUCUUCGGGCCGAAGCUGUAGAUCCUGAGAUUGCCAUCGUCGUCCAGCGUAAGUCUCCUCAACACAUUCGCAUCGUCAUAGUCAAGCGCGUAGUCUUGUGAACUCGUUGAUCCUCGUACCCAGCUCUUUCCAGUUGCGUCGUAAAAGGAAAGGACCCCUUGAGAGCUCAAGUUCAAGACGGCCGGGAACUUGAGAGAACGAUCAGGCUGGCAAGCGUUGUUGUUCGAGACGUGCUCUCCGG
rnacentral:lncRNA from 1 species